UAAGGAAUAUUGGUCAAUGGGCGCAAGCCUGAUCCAGCCAUGCCGCGUGAGUGACGAAGGCCUUAGGGUUGUAAAGCUCUUUUGGCGGGGAAGCUAAUGACGGUACCCGCAGAAUAAGCUCCGGCUAACUUCGUGCCAGCAGCCGCGGUAAUACGAAGGGAGCUAGCGUUGUUCGGAAUCACUGGGCGUAAAGCGCACGUAGGCGGACUUUCAAGUCAGGGGUGAAAUCCCGGGGCUCAACCUCGGAACUGCCUUUGAUACUGUUGGUCUCGAGUCCGGAAGAGGUGAGUGGAAUUCCUAGUGUAGAGGUGAAAUUCGUAGAUAUUAGGAAGAACACCCGUGGCGAAGGCGGCUCACUGGUCCGGUACUGACGCUGAGGUGCGAAAGCGUGGGGA
rnacentral:rRNA from 1 species